rnacentral:rRNA from 1 species
GACGAACGCUGGCGGCAUGCCUAAUACAUGCAAGUUGAACGAUGAUAUUCUCUGCUUGCAGAGAAUUGAAGAGUAGCGAACGGGUGAGUAACACGUGGGGAACCUGCCCAUGAGAGGGGGAUAACAUUCGGAAACGGAUGCUAAUACCGCAUAAUGCUUUGGACCGCCUGGUCCAGAGACGAAAGACGGCUUUUGCUGUCACUCAUGGAUGGCCCCGCGCCGUAUUAGCUAGUUGGUGAGGUAAUGGCUCACCAAAGCUGUGAUACGUAGCCGACCUGAGAGGGUGAUCGGCCACACGGGGACGGAGACACGGCCCAGACUCCUACGGGAGGCAGCAGUAGGGAAUCGUCCACAAUGGGCGAAAGCCUGAUGGAGCAAUGCCGCGUGAAUGAAGAAGGUCUUCGGAUCGUAAAGUUCUGUUAUGAGAGAAGAACAAGUUAAGGAGUAACUGUCUUGACUUUGACGGUACCUAACCAGAAAGUCACGGCUAACUACGUG